rnacentral:rRNA from 1 species
CCUACGGGAGGCAGCAGUGAGGAAUAUUGGUCAAUGGGCGAGAGUCUGAACCAGCCAAGUCGCGUGAAGGAUGAAGGAUCUAUGGUUUGUAAACUUCUUUUAUAUGGGAAUAAAGUGAGGAACGUGUUCCUUUUUGUAUGUACCAUAUGAAUAAGCAUCGGCUAACUCCGUGCCAGCAGCCGCGGUAAUACGGAGGAUGCGAGCGUUAUCCGGAUUUAUUGGGUUUAAAGGGUGCGUAGGUGGUUAAUUAAGUCAGCGGUGAAAGUUUGUGGCUCAACCAUAAAAUUGCCGUUGAAACUGGUUGACUUGAGUAUAUUUGAGGUAGGCGGAAUGCGUGGUGUAGCGGUGAAAUGCAUAGAUAUCACGCAGAACUCCGAUUGCGAAGGCAGCUUACUAAACUAUAACUGACACUGAAGCACGAAAGCGUGGGGAUCAAACAGGAUUAGAUACCCCUGUAGUC